UCUCCGUUGGUGAACCAGCGGAGGGAUCAUUACAGAGUUUUCUAACUCCCAAACCCUUUGUGAACUUACCUAUGUUGCCUCGGUGGGAGCCUACCCUGUACCUACCCUGUAACGGGUUACCCGGGAGCGGCCCCACCGGUGGACUUUUUAACUCUUGUUAUUUUAUGUAAUCUGAGAGUCUUAUUUUAAAUAAGUCAAAACUUUCAACAACGGAUCUCUUGGUUCUGGCAUCGAUGAAGAACGCAGC
rnacentral:misc_RNA from 1 species